rnacentral:rRNA from 1 species
CCUACGGGAGGCAGCAGUGGGGAAUUUUGCGCAAUGCUCGAAAGAGUGACGCAGCGACGCCGCGUGAAUGACGAAGGCCUUCGGGUCGUAAAGUUCUUUCGACAGGGAAGAAAAUGCCUAUAAGUAACUGUGUAUGUAUUGACGGUAUCUGUAUAAGCAGCCACGGCUAACUCCGUGCCAGCAGCCGCGGUAAUACGGAGGGGGCGAGCGUUGUUCGGAGUGACUGGGCGUAAAGAGAACGUAGGCGGUGUUGUAAGUCAUUAGUGAAAGACUAGGGCUAAACGGGAGUAAGGCUAGGGAUACUAUAAGACUAGAGUACCAAAGAGGAGUGUAGAAUUCCUGGUGUAGCGGUGAAAUGCGUAGAUAUCAGGAAGAACACCGUUAGCGAAGGCGGCUAUCUGGCUGGAAACUGACGCUGAGGUGCGAAAGCGUGGGUAGCAAACAGGAUUAGAUACCCUAGUAGUC